rnacentral:rRNA from 1 species
UGGUGGAGUGAUUUGUCUGGUUAAUUCCGAUAACGAACGAGACCUCAGCCUGCUAACUAGUUGCUGCUUCUCCAAGCAGUGGACUUCUUAGAGGGACUUCAGGGGCUACUCUGAGGAAGUUUGAGGCAAUAACA